rnacentral:rRNA from 1 species
GAUGAACGCUGGCGGCGUGCCUAAUACAUGCAAGUCGAGCGAACAGACGAGGAGCUUGCUCCUUCGACGUUAGCGGCGGACGGGUGAGUAACACGUAGGUAACCUACCUAUAAGACUGGGAUAACUUCGGGAAACCGGAGCUAAUACCGGAUAAUAUUUCGAACCGCAUGGUUCGAUAGUGAAAGAUGGCUUUGCUGUCACUUAUAGAUGGACCCGCGCCGUAUUAGCUAGUUGGUAAGGUAACGGCUUACCAAGGCAACGAUGCGUAGCCGACCUGAGAGGGUGAUCGGCCACACUGGAACUGAGACACGGUCCAGACUCCUACGGGAGGCAGCAGUAGGGAAUCUUCCGCAAUGGGCGAAAGCCUGACGGAGCAACGCCGCGUGAGUGAUGAAGGUCUUCGGAUCGUAAAACUCUGUUAUUAGGGAAGAACAAACGUGUAAGUAACUAUGCACGUCUUGACGGUACCUAAUCAGAAAGCCACGGCUAACUACGUG